AUCAGACGUGUCUCCCAACACUGCGCUCGGCUCUCCUUCCUGCGCCUCAAGUGACCGGAGAGGCGCAAAAACCUCACCGAGCUCUGUCCCUUUUAUUUGGCACUGAAUGGAAUAAAGUAGCUUUUUUUCUUAACAGGCAAUCCUCAGCGUGGAUGACUUCACGUUGGUGAAAACAAAGGAUACAGGAUUCUUGAAGAGGGAACUGAAGAGCAAUAAGGGUAGGUGCAGAGAUUUGCAUUCGUUAUGAUCCAGUGCAUUUUGACCUAAAGAGGAGACAACAAACCAGCCUGGUAUGAGAGACUGUUAUACACACACACACACACACACACACACACACACACACACAAACACACACACUUAGGUGAAGAGAAACACACUCAUUUGUUAAACAGAGCGAACACAUCACUCUUUGCUAAGUAGAAGUUUCACUCAUCUCUCCCCCCUCGUUCUCUCAUCUGUCCAUGUCAUCCCUCACUACCCCACUUUCACAUCAGCCAUCAGGUAGUUACACACACACACACACACAUACAUACACACUCCUUCACAUCAGCCAUCAGUUUGUCCGACAGACAUAAAUGUACAUCUUCUCAUUCACGCACAGACCAACUGCUUUACAUCACACGUCACCUAAGAGUCACACACUCACUCACACACACACACACACACACACACACACACACACACACACACACACAAUUCAUCACACAUCAGUUAUAUCUUUUAGGCUGAAGGAGAGAGGGGGUGUCAGCAGCAGGAGGGGUUGACAGGAGAGAAGAGGAAGUACACAGGAAGUACAUUAGUUAUCACUCCCAUGUCUUCUCCACCUUUUCACUUCUUAUCACCACCCGAUGUCUCAGACCCCAGUCGAGCUGCUUCUCCUUCUCAUCCCACCCCUUUCCUUUUCUCUUUCUGUCUCUCUCUCUUUCUCACACACACGCCUCUAAAAAUGACUUCCGUGCUCCAUUUUAGUGUCGGGCCCUGGGAUCUAGAUGACACUUGGCAAGCCGUAGAAGCCGCAAGACAACUGGAUGAAAUAUUUAAAUGAAAGACGGCAGGGGUAGAAGAGGUGAAGAAAGGAGGGGGGGAAGACAGAGAGAAAGGAAUAUAGGACAGAGGACGAGGAAAGGAGAGAGUGACGAUAUUCAGAUGGUGAGCAGAAUGUGAAGGAUUUCUUUUCUUGGCAAAGAGAGGGCCGUGUGACAAGAAGUGCAGAUGAAUUUGCUUUCACCUACAGAGUAGCCUGAAGAGAAAUAUACCAAUAUAGUAUGAGAUCACAUUGCUUUGUCUUGGAAUCAUCAGCAAGUCUCAGUAUGUGUCAUAGUACUUUCAGCACGGUGCCAGCUCAGCUGCUUAGAGGAGGACAAGAACCUUAAACAUAAUCAAAUGAAAUGGAACUUUGUUCCAGAGUGAUUGCAACUUUAGAAUUACAAAGCUCAAUCUGACUUUUUUUCACGCUAGCAGCUCUGUGAAGGCCCAGACACACCAAACUUACAUCAAGAACUAGUGGUGACAAAGGUCGACUGUUGCAUCGCCUCACGUUGUCUGUGUCUGUGCCAAAAAGUUGCACUUGAACACACCACAAAAUCUACAGCCAACAGUCAACUAGCAUGUACUUCCGUGUCUGUGUGAGAGGAAAUAACUCUCCAUAACAGCAGAUGGCGAUAGUCUGUAUUCGUCAUUCAGAAAAGGAAACUGGAAGAGUGACUGGACGGAUUUAAGAUGCUAGUUAGUAGUUAGCAUAUUACCAACUCAGCCCGAUGUCGAAAGGACAGAUGAUAUUUACCGUGCACCAACGAACAAUAAAACAAACAAUUAUGAACCGUUUUUGCAACAGAACUCAAUGGCUAAAAAAAAAUAACCUUAUCUAAUGUACAUUUAACAGGUCUUGAUUUGAGGCACUCUUGAUUUUAGUCGUUUUUAGCUUUCCUUAUUUCUGUUUCUCUUUUGUGCAUUGAACUGCCAACCUGAGGCCAAAAAGCAGCACUGUGCGGGACAAACUGCAAAAACUAGGGUGGUAGAUGUUCACUGAUGGCCCAACUUUGACCAAUGGCUGACAGUCAGCCUGGUGUAUCAGGGCCUUAAGGCUUUAUUAAAUACUAAAUUCUAAGGCUAGCUGACAAACCUUAAUGUGCCAUCAUGCUACUAAUUAAUAGCACUAAACACAAAGUACAACUCAGGCUGAUUUGCAGAUGUUUGGCCAUAAAUAAAGCUAAAAAUCUGAGCUGAUGAUGGUGCUAGAACAAAAGUCAAAGGCUGACACUUUUGGUCAGUUGGUCGAUUGGUUGGUCGAUAUGCUCUUGUUGGACCGAAGUCUUAUUGAUCAGAUAAUCACCAGUGUUACUUUUAUAAGGGGCUGUGUGUCCAUCAAAGCUUUUUACCCCAGUUUGAAACACCAGCUGAUGUUCUGAAAACACCCAGCUUGGAGUACUAGAGCCUUUUAUAGGUGCAGCAAUUUUUCAGCAGAGACACUUUGGUUGAGUGUGGUCACUAUGAUUCAGAAUAUCCACAGACGAAGAGAUGUGGACGCAAGGUAAAAUACUUGAUCUGGCCCUUGCCUUGGAUGAAGGAAAGGCUGAGGCAUGCAGGGAGAGAGGACGAACCCGUCAGUCUAUGUGGCCAGCAGUUUUCAUUUUCCUCCAUUGCUGCUGUUGUUCAGCAUAUGUACCUGUAGGAUGUAGAGGUUGGUCUUUGUGUUAUUUGCCUUUCUCCACUAUGAUGAUUGGAUGGUUGGGUGAAAAGCAACGGUUACAAGUGCAGCAUUUCACACAAAUUUGAACAUUUUUCAACUUUCAACCAGAAAUUAUUAUCAAUAAAAGUAAAUGAAUAAACAAAAAAUCAUUAGCUCAGUUAGAUCCUCCACUAUCUAGUCCCUCAUUUCAAUUUCUGGAAACCAUGAGAGCUUAAGUAUAAUUCAUUCAUCAGUACGGGCACAGUCGUGUUAAACAAGAGAGACGAAAACAAGUGGUGACUUUGAGGCGGUCAUCAAGUCCAAAUAUGUGUCCAUUCCUCUAUUAUGUAGUGUCCACUGUAUUCCCUCAGUCCGUCAGGGUCCACUGAUCAACAGGAUCAACAGUUCUCAUUAAAUCAAUCCAAGUUGUGAAUAUUGUCAUGCGGAAUCCAUUGCUAGCUGAGUUCUAACUUUGUUGAUCAAAUGGAUUGCAGUUCUUCCAAAGUAAACAAUAUUUUCUCGUCUUCCUGCACCGUGUUGUUGGAUAUUCUUUUUUUCCUUCAGUACUUUGCUGUCUAUAAAAUAAAAGUUUCCCCAAACAUUUCUGUGUAUUUUUCACCCUGAGACAGACCCUGGUGUACAGCAUGUGCUCUCAGUUUGGAAGGCCAGUGGGCUCUGUCACAUAUCUUUCCAAGCACUGUACAUAUGUUGAAGGCCUUUUUCUCAAAAUCAUUAUUUGAUGACAGUCAUUAUGUAAAGUUCUGUAUUUUACAUAAUAUUUGGAGUGCAAAAACAAUAUUUAUAUCAUUAGAAAGAUUAGAAUAUUCUCUGUUCAAAAUGUCUUUUCGGGUCAGUGUGACUAAAAAUUGGUAGAGCAAGUUGCAAAUGAGUUAAUCAUGACUCAGUUGUGACAAGUUAUUGACAUUGCAUGGUAUUAUUUUUAGUUUUAUGACAUAAUGGCUCCACAAUCUGAAAACAGAAAAGGUGUUAUCUUCAAAGUCAUUCUAUAACUUCAUUCAACAAGUUCCAACUGUAAAGCCAACCAGUGCUCGGUUAGUAUACUCGACUAAUGAAGUCCCGCCUCUUCCUGCCUGCCCUCACUGCUUUUGACAUAGUUUUGCAAGUUUGAUAGGAACUCCUGUUUCCUAUAUGUAACUCAACAUUCUCCACACGGACUCUGUGAUAAAUAUAAGUUUAAAAUUAGAGUGAUCUGAUGUUCACUCUACAGAGCUUCCACCAGAGUUACUAUCUGGCUUUAACUCAUCUUCUGCUGUAGACACAAAAUGAAACAGUGACUGCAUUCAGAGCUCAGACACUGACAGCGAUGACCCGAGCGUGUCCAGGCAAAAACAGUCAUGUAAAUUGGGCAGGGAAAAAAAACACCAAAAAGAAAAAACAGCAGACAGGUGGGACAGUGAUGCGUUGAGAAAAAAAAGAAAACAUAGAACAAGGACACAAAAGAAUCAUCAGAAUUAGGAGACAAAAAUUUUAUGACUUUGUCGUGUAGUUUUUAAUUCAGUUUAUUCAAAAUGUGUAUCUUACAUUAUUGCUAAUUUAAAUAACUUUUACAUUCUGUUUUUUUUUUUUAAACAAAGCAAGACUAAACUGUAGACUGUAGAGAGUCAUAAUAUUCUAAACAGAGAAUGUAUUCUCGGUAUCAGGAGGUUCUACCCACAAAAUCAAAAUGUAGAGGGAUUUUGGGUGCCUGUCAUUUUGACCACUACACGAGAACUUUACUGUAUUCCAGUUUUUUCUAUCUAUGAUGUGAAAGCUUUAAACCUCAAUAUCUCAAAACCAGGAUCGCAGUAAGAACAAUAUAAUUCCAUUUAUGUUUGAUUUCAUCUCCCUCCAACACAAAAGAUACAAUAAAAAUGAACUGGUAGGUGUGUGUAUAUGUGUGUGUUGUUUACUCAAUCAUCCACACUCGCUGUAUAAGCUCUCUUUAAUUAUUUUCUUAGCCAGUCGUGUGUGCAGAGCUGCAUGCUGGCUGUACAAAUGCUUAUUUAAGGUGCAUGCAUGUGUGUGUUUGUCACUGUGCAUGUGCAGGGCCUGUGUGUGUGUGUGUGUGUGUGUGUGUGUGUGUGUGUGUGUGUGUGUGUUCUAUGUGCACUUAAUUGUACUUUACUGUACAUCUCAUGCGUGCAUGGGUAUGUGUUUGCAGUAUAAUUUAUGCGUCUUCAUGGUGCAUUACUGACUUGUAUGGUUCCCCUGACUGUUGAGUCCUGCUUGCAAAGGACUGUGCUAAUUACAAAGCUGGACAUCAGGCCUGCCUGUCAAGGAAGUGGGGGAGUUUGUUAGCUUGUAAAGGUAACAGAUUUAAAUGUGCAGCAGAAAAAGUGAAUAAAAUUUAACUGUGUCCUGUAGUGUUUCAAUAAAAAAUUCAAUAAAAUGAUGAUUUGAUAUGCAGUGUGUUAUUUCUAUCUUAUAUACAGCAUUGUUUGUCAGUGUUGUCAGAAAGUGCUCCCACUUUUGGUACCAUGAAGGCACCACGAAUCCCAGAUUUGGAAAGAUGACGUCUGAAAUAAAGUCAGGUUUCAGACCAGCUUCAGGUCAUACUGAGUAAGGUGAACAGCACUAGCACACUGGAGAAAAAAAGUGCAAUUUUAAAAUCCAGUUUCCAGUUAUUGCAGCAAGGAGAAAGACAGGAAAAAGCCAUGUUCUUCAUUAUUCCCCAGAACAGAUUCUGCAUGUAGCAAUGAAAAUGCUAACGUAUUGCCAUCCAGUAGUUCAGACUAAAGUAUUACUUCAAAUAAACAUUCUGUUUCCCAGUGCCGGACUUUGUGAGUAAAUGGAACGGAGAAGGAACAGAGGGGUUUUCUCCUGUGCUGAUUGGGUGCAGAUGUGAGCUCUGGUCUGGGUUUGGUUAAAGUCCUGCUGCCAGGAAUAUUCGCUACAAUUCAAUAAAUAGAGCUGUUAGGAGCAAGGCAUUUCCUUGUCACCAUGUCAAGGUUUCAGAGCGGAUGUUUCACAUUGGGUGUAUCUAAUACUUAGCCUAUACACUCAGCUGAAUGUAAAACACUGUAACUCAAGAAUGCUGCUAUUAAAACACUGCAGGGGCAGAUUGAAUGACGAAUGUGAACUUGAAUUUAGACUUGAAUUUACAGCUUUGUGUAUUAGAGUUCACAUUGGUAUGGGUUUUUGAUGGUGAUGCGUGACACUUUGGAUCUAAGUUUUUUAUUACUUUUGUAUUUUUUUAGCAAUAUUAAUGGAAUAUAUUACUCAUGGGUAGAAUGGGACAAAAAAACUUCAGUUGAAAUGUAGAUAAAUUAAUUGAUUUUAAAUUUAGCCUAACUUAUUAAGGGCAUAAAAUGCUCAUAUUUUUUUAUUUUGAUUUAAAAAAACAAAACAAAACAUCACACAGAAAGCAAUAAAUACAUACAGUACUUUGAAACAUGCAUGCUAUAAAUGCCACAUACAACAUGACACUAAGAAGUUUAGCAUUUUUACCGGACAAGUAGCAAACACCAAGAACAUAUUGGUUUGGAUCCAUUAUUGUUUUAAUUCCAAGAAAUUUCUCAAUCUCGGUUAGAAAAGAAAGCUGAAAAGUUAUGAUCAGUGGACAUUACCACAUUAAAUGACACAAAGUGCCAUGAUGUUUUUGGCAUUUCUGGCACACUGUGGAACACGAGCAUGUGUUUCAGGGGUUGCAUACAAUUUCUUAAUUAUCUUGCAGUAUGUUGUGUUUCAUACAAAACUCAACCAUAUUUGGUCACCUUGGUAAAAAUCAAAAUCAU